GCUGCAAUGUGACGUAUUUCAGAAUAGUAUGAGAGGUAAAUCAGGAAAACAAGGAACCAAUGAUAGGCAAUAGGAAACUGCAAAAUAAAUAUACUGCGCCAAACGGUGCAACAGAGAGAGAACGAUAGUUACUGUUAACAGCAAGCCACUCAUUUAAAUCCUCCCCAGGUGGUAGCUUUACUGCUUCCCUCAGAUUUCCACUACCUAGUGUAGCAUCAAUGUGCUGUCUAAGCUGUGCUCCCUGUGAUACAAAGAAAGAGAAGAAUCAUAAUUCAUAAAUUGUGUCCUAACGACCUAAGAAAUAUGCAUUUCAAUUUUGAUCAGAGUCAGCAUCAUCCAGUUCCGAAACAGUUCUAAAGAAAAAGAGGAGAUAUUACUGCUUCAACAUAAGGGACCAACCUUACUCCCAGAAGGUGCACUUUUCUUGGGGCGGAAUGUUCUCUGGUUUCUGUUGCAAUUUGUUAGAUCGAAUAAUAUAUGAGUAAAACAUCGAGGAGAAUAAACCUAGAUUGAAUUAAUAGAAAUAUUGAUUGGCAUCUUGUAAGUUAUAACUAACUAACUAACUAUUCAUGCUUACAACUUACAAGUUAACAAUUCCAGCUUAAUCCGAAACGACAAAGAAAUCCUUAGAAAGCAGUAACAUUUAAAGAGGAAGAAUAGAAAUUGCAGGUGGAAUUGGAUUGCGUUGCGAAAUUGGGUUGUCAGAUGAGAUGAGAGUGGAUUGAGAGAGAGAGAGAGAGAGAGAGAGAGAGAGAGAGAGAGAGAAUGGAAGACAAGAGGAUCCGAGAGACAGAGAGAAGAUCAAUGGUAAAAGUUUGAAAAGGAGGUGAUAACUAGAACAGAUCAGAUCAUAGAUGAAUAAUAAUCCAUAGAUUCGAAAAGAUGAGAAGGGGGAACAGGGGAAGGAAACGUGAGAAAUAUGAACCGGAAGUAGUUGGGAAGAGGCAUGACUCACCUGCCGAGACCAAAGAGGCUCAUGGCUGGGCUCAGGCUCAGGCUCAGGCUCAGGCUCCGAGAGAUGUUGUUUGCUCUUCCUUGACCGAUUGCGUUCGCCUGAUGUUGCUUUUGGAAUCCUCGCCUCCCAAUAAAAACCAUUCACAACAUAAUCGCUAUAUUAUGAGCAUUUUAAUCACUACAAACAAAACUUGAUUAUGGAACAUAAAAUAUUAACUAUUAUUGAACAUAAAAUAUUAAUUUUCUUUCAUUCAGACUUCAUUUCUUUAUACAUAUAUCAAUCUCAUAUACGGACACACGUAUUUAGUAUUUACACGAAAAAUCUUUAAAAUGUGAUACUCAAAUUCUCAAUUUUAAGACGUGAUCUAAGCUCAUAACAAAUCCAAUAUUCUAAUCUUAAUUUUGCAUUUUACACAACCACGUUAGUUGAAUGAGCAGUCAGUUAGCUAUAACAUACUUGGGACCAGCAGACAUUGUUCGACAAUUCUCAGGAGUGCAAAACUCUGUGAGGGUGCCAUAAAGAAGAUUGACCUGGUUGAAGAAAUCAACGGCUGCAAUGUGACGUAUUUCAGAAUAGUAUGAGAGGUAAAUCAGGAAAACAAGGAACCAAUGAUAGGCAAUAGGAAACUGCAAAAUAAAUAUACUGCGCCAAACGGUGCAACAGAGAGAGAACGAUAGUUACUGUUAACAGCAAGCCACUCAUUUAAAUCCUCCCCAGGUGGUAGCUUUACUGCUUCCCUCAGAUUUCCACUACCUAGUGUAGCAUCAAUGUGCUGUCUAAGCUGUGCUCCCUGUGAUACAAAGAAAGAGAAGAAUCAUAAUUCAUAAAUUGUGUCCUAACGACCUAAGAAAUAUGCAUUUCAAUUUUGAUCAGAGUCAGCAUCAUCCAGUUCCGAAACAGUUCUAAAGAAAAAGAGGAGAUAUU
rnacentral:lncRNA from 1 species